rnacentral:misc_RNA from 1 species
UGGUCCAUAAGUUCACGACUCACAAAAAUUUCACACACAAUGUUUUCCUCUUAAUCUGGGUUAUAUACCUAUACCGUAGAGACUCGGUGACACUUUGAUGUCAGUGAGGCUAACGUCUGAGAAUUUGAGGCUAGAACGAGCCUCUCAUAUCUAGUACAAUUGUUAUAUUAUAAAGUAACUGGCAAUUCUCUCAUUUUUACACAAAUAAAUGAUGUGCUGUGAUGAGACAGUGAUCUGUGUAUUGGGUCUCGUGACAUCCGUGGCCGCGAAGUUUCUGAAACGUGUACUUCUUUUAGUGGUUUCAUAAGUUGAAUCGACAGCUCUAUGAAUGCCACUUCAGAUUCGCUUGACUGACUUAUCUGCUUUGAGGAUAAUGUUUUAUACUGCGACACGAAGUAUAGAACCCGUGUACGAGGUGAUACCGCCCAGGAAUAUGAUAAUAUGAUAACAUACCCAGUUUACACUUACAAAUUCAAACAUCAUGUCAAAAGAUAAGUUAAUUUUUAUAUUGACAUUGAGUUUUAUUUGCGUUAUUAUCAUGUUAUUAGCCAACAAAAUCAAUUUAUCUACCGAUAAAUUUUGAAUAUAUGGUUCAUCAACUUGACGCUUGUGUCCCAGUGUGGAGAAGAGUUGGUCACAAGGCCCGGCAGAGGCAGCUCCUCUUCUCUCAGUUCCGGUAUACAGUGACGUCAUACACGAAGUCACUCACCGGCGUGAGCGUGACAGACGACCAGAGGGAUGCAGUGCGGCCGGAGUUCGGGGCAGCAGAGUCGACGGUGACGGUAAAGGAGGGAGAGACGGCCAAGCUGCCUUGUGUUGUCCUCCACCUCAACGACAAGUCUGUAACGUGGCUGAGGCGCCGAGACCUCCACAUCCUGACGGUGGGUCACCUCACAUACUCCGCCGACCAGCGCUUCCAGGUGGUACACGCGGAGGGCAGCCAGGAGUGGACCUUGGUGGUGCGCUACACUCAGCUGAGAGACGCCGGCGUCUACGAGUGUCAGGUCAACACUGAACCAAAACUCUCACGUCACGUCACACUCAGAGUCCAGGAGCCACGACCCCCUAACACAGGGACCAAGACUAAGGUGUUCGUGGCCAAUAAUACGGCAUCUACCAAAGACGGUAACCUCCGGGUGGAGAUCUUGGGGCCCCGGGAGCUGUACAUCGAGGAGGGGUCCUCCCUCACCCUCACCUGCCUGGUGACGUCACUGAGGGGCCCCUCAGCCCUGGUCUACUGGUACCACGACAUCAGCCUUAUUGACUACAACUCCCCCAGGGGCGGCGUGAACCUGAAGAUUGAUCGUGGUCGUGGAGAGACGACGACUCGCCUGGUGGUGUCGUCGGUGGGUCCCGGAGACUCUGGCAUGUACUCCUGCGUGCCCCAAGGUUCCCACCCCGCCACCGUGCUAGUACAUGUACAGAAAGGUGAGCACGAAGCAGCCAUUCAACAAGGCGGUCUGGGUGAAUCUAACUCUUCAACUACCAUCUCGUCAUGUUUCCUCCUCUUGUUCCUCUUUCUCAUUACGUCUUUUAUCUGUGUCGACUCUAACCUCUACUCCUCUAGCACCGCCUCUACCUCGUUACACAAUACCUCCUCUUCCUCCUCCAUCACCUCUCAUGAGACAGACCUACAUUCCUCCCCCUCUCGCUGCGGGAUGUCUCAAAGUGGUGACGUAACUUCACCUUCUCUCUCGCUUCCGUUUGCCUUUCCUGCCUCUGCAUGAUAAUCCUCCUCCUUCUCCUCCUUCCGCUUUUGUAUAUUUUUUUACUCCGUUAAUGCUCCGGUUCCAGAUUCUCAGAGGUUCGCAGGAUGAAUGUUCCUCGAAGCAGAAGAUUUUGGAAUAUAUCGAACUGGUUAUAACUUAGAAGUAAUGGUAAUGAUGUUAUUGUACGGAAAAUGACAUCUAAAUUACACAGUGAUUCUACUUUAGAUAAGUACUUUCGUUUAGUCGUAGUUAGGAAAGAAAUAACGUAGAAAUAGUGUGGGGGAAAAGUUUCUCUACACAUAUUUUGUCUUGUAAGUGGUCCUUAUGGGGUAAUGUGUGUGUGUGUGUGUGUGUGAGAGAGAGAGAGAGAGAGAGAGAGAGAGAGAGAGAGAG